rnacentral:rRNA from 1 species
AGCAGCCGCGGUAAUUCCAGCUCCAAUAGCGUAUAUUAAAGUUGUUGCAGUUAAAAAGCUCGUAGUUGAAUUUCGGGGUUCUACCGUUGGUCGGGCUUUGUCUGUACUGAUGUGUAGAAUUUCUACCUUCUGGGAACCACCAUGUUAUUAAUUUAGCGUGGUGGGAAACCAGGACCUUUACCUUGAAAAAAUUAGAGUGUUCAAAGCAGGCUUAUGUCUGAAUACAUUAGCAUGGAAUAAUAGAAUAGGACGGUGGUCCUGUUUUGUUGGUUUCUGAAUCACCGUAAUGAUUAAUAGGGAUAGUUGGGGGCAUUAGUAUUCAAUUGUCAGAGGUGAAAUUCUUGGAUUUAUUGAAGACUAACUUCUGCGAAAGCAUUUGCCAAGGAUGCUUUCAUUAAUCAAGAACGAAAGUUAGGGGAUCGAAGACGAUCAGAUACCGUCGUAGUCUUAACCAUAAACUAUGCCGACUAGGGAUCGGACGAUGUUAAUUUUUCUUGACUCGUUUCGGCGCCUUACGGGA